UGCGUAGGUGGUUUCUUAAGUCAGGAGUGAAAGGCUACGGCUUAACCGUAGUAAGCUCUUGAAACUGGGAAACUUGAGUGCAGGAGAGGAAAGUGGAAUUCCUAGUGUAGCGGUGAAAUGCGUAGAUAUUAGGAGGAACACCAGUAGCGAAGGCGGCUUUCUGGACUGUAACUGACACUGAGGCACGAAAGCGUGGGGAGGCAAACA
rnacentral:rRNA from 1 species